GCCGGGGUAGCUCAAUGGCAGAGCAGGGCUUUUGUAAAGCCAAGGUUUGGGGGUUCAAGUCCUCUCCCCGGCU
rnacentral:tRNA from 1 species